AGUGAACGCUGGCGGCGUGCCUAAUACAUGCAAGUCGAACGAAGUGGCGCACGGAUGGGUAAUAUCUAGUUAAUCACGCCUACACACAGGCACAACAGUUGGCAACGGCUGCGAAUACCCCUUAGUGUAGGAUGAGACUAUAUCGUAUCAGCUAGUUGGUAAGGUAAUGGCUUACCAAGGCUAUGACGCGUCACAGGUCUGAGAGGAUGAUCAGUCAAAUCGGAACUGAGACACGGUUCAAACUCCUACGAGAGGCAGCAGUAAGGAAUACUGCGCAAUGGGGGAAACCCUGACGCAGCAACGCCGCGUGGAGGAUGACACUUCGCGGAGCGUAAACUCCUUUUUGCAGGAAAGCGGUACCUGAUGAAGAAGCACCGGCUAACUCCGUGCCAGCCGCCGCGGUAAUAC
rnacentral:rRNA from 1 species